GACGAACGCUGGCGGCGUGCUUAACACAUGCAAGUCGAACGAAGUGGCGUACGGGUGAGUAACGCGUAAACAACCUGCCCUUCAGAGGGGGACAAUAGUUGGAAACGACUGCUACUACCGCUUACUGCAGGAGGGGUUUGCGUCUGAUUAGCUCGUUGGCGGGGUAACGGCUCACCAAGGCGAUGAUCAGUAGCCGGUCUGAUGGGGUGAACGGCCACAGUGGGACUGAGACACGGCCCAGACUCCUACGGGAGGCAGCAGUGGGGAAACUUCCGCGAUGGACGAAAGUCUGACGGAGCAACGCCGCGUGAGUGAUGACGGCCUUCGGGUUGUAAAGCUCUGUUAAUCGGGACGCGGUACCGGAAUAGAAAGCCACGGCUAACUACGUGCCAGCAGCCGCGGUAAUUC
rnacentral:rRNA from 1 species